GAUGAACGCUGGCGGCGUGCCUAAUACAUGCAAGUCGAGCGCACAGACUCGGAGUUUGCUCCUCUGACGUUAGCGGCGGACGGGUGAGUAACAUGUGGAUACUCUACCUAUAAGACUGGGAUAACUUUGGGAAACCGGAGCUAAUACCGGUUGAUAUACUGAACCGAAUGGCUCAUUAGUGAAAGACGGUUUUACUGUCACAUAUACAUGGAUCGGCCCAGCAUUGUCUAGUGGGUACGGUAACGGCUUACCAAGGCAACGAUGCGUAGCCGACCUGAGAGGGUGAGCGGCCAGGCUAGAACUGAGACACGGUCCAGACCCCUACGGGAGGCAGCAGAGGGGAAUCUUACGCAAUGGGCGGAAGCCUGACGGAGCAACGCCGCGUGGGUGAUGAGGGUCCUCGGAUCGUAAAGCUAUGUUAUGAGGGAAGAACAAAUGUGUAAGUAGCUAUGCACUACUUGACGGUACCUUAUCAGAAAGCCACGGCUAACUACGUG
rnacentral:rRNA from 1 species